GACGAACGCUGGCGGCGUGCUUAACACAUGCAAGUCGAACGAAGUGGCGAACGGGUGAGUAACGCGUAAUCAACCUGCCCUUCAGAGGGUGACAACAGUUGGAAACGACUGCUAAUACCGCAUACUGAAGGAGGGGAUUGCGUCUGGUGAGCUAGUUGGAGGGGUACCGGCCCACCAAGGCGAUGAUCAGUAGCCGGGCUGAGAUGAGUAACGGCCACAUUGGGACUGAGACACGGCCCAGACUCCUACGGGAGGCAGCAGUGGGGAAUCGUCCGAAAUGGACGACAGUCUGACGGAGCAACGCCGCGUUGGUGAUGACGGCCUUCGGGUUGUAAAGCUCUGUUAAUCGGGACGCGGUACCGGAAUAGAAAGCCACGGCUAACUACGUGCCAGCCGCCGCGGUAAUAC
rnacentral:rRNA from 1 species